rnacentral:rRNA from 1 species
GAACUUAAGCAUAUCAAUAAGCGGAGGAAAAGAAACCAACAGGGAUUACCUCAGUAACGGCGAGUGAAGCGGUAACAGCUCAAAUUUGAAAUCUGCCGCAAGGCCGAGUUGUAAUUUGUAGAAGAUGCUUUGGGUAUGGCCCCGGUCUAAGUUCGUUGGAACACGACGUCAUAGAGGGUGAGAAUCCCGUAUGUGACUGGGUGCUUUUGCCUAUGUAAAGCUCUUUCGACGAGUCGAGUUGUUUGGGAAUGCAGCUCAAAAUGGGUGGUAUAUUUCAUCUAAAGCUAAAUAUUGGCCAGAGACCGAUAGCGCACAAGUAGAGUGAUCGAAAGAUGAAAAGCACUUUGGAAAGAGAGUUAAACAGUACGUGAAAUUGUUGAAAGGGAAGCGCUUGCAACCAGACUUGCACGCUGUUGAUCAUCCAGGCUUCUGUUUGGUGCACUCAACUGCGUUCAGGCCAGCAUCGGUUUUGGUGGUGGGAUAAAGGCCUUGGGAAUGUAGCUUCUUUCGGGGAGUGUUAUAGCCCUCGGUGCAAUGCCGCCUACCGGGACCGAGGACCGCGCUUCGGCUAGGAUGCUGGCGUAAUGGUUGUAAGCGACCCGUCUUGAAACACGGACCAAGGAGUCUAACAUCUAUGCGAGUGUUUGGGUGUCAAACCCAUACGCGUAAUUAACGUGAACGGAGGUGAGAACCCUUAAGGGUGCAUCAUCGACCGAUCCUGAUGUCUUCGGAUGGAUUUGAGUAAGAGCAUAGCUGUUGGGACCCGAAA